AUUGAACGCUGGCGGCAUGCCUUACACAUGCAAGUCGAACGGUAACAGGGAGCUUGCUCCGCUGACGAGUGGCGAACGGGUGAGUAAUGUAUCGGAACGUACCUUUUAGUGGGGGAUAACGUAGCGAAAGUUACGCUAAUACCGCAUAUUCUCUGAGGAGGAAAGCAGGGGACCUUCGGGCCUUGCGCUAAUAGAGCGGCUGACAUCAGAUUAGCUAGUUGGUGAGGUAAGGCUCACCAAGGCGACGAUCUGUAGCGGGUCUGAGAGGAUGAUCCGCCACACUGGAACUGAGACACGGUCCAGACUCCUACGGGAGGCAGCAGUGGGGAAUUUUGGACAAUGGGGGCAACCCUGAUCCAGCCAUGCCGCGUGAGUGAAGAAGGCCUUCGGGUUGUAAAGCUCUUUCGGCCGGGAAAAAAUCGCAUGGGCUAAUACCCUGUGUGGAUGAUGGUACCGGAAUAAGAAGCACCGGCUAACUACGUGCCAGCCGCCGCGGUAA
rnacentral:rRNA from 1 species